UACGGGGGGGGCAAGCGUUGUUCGGAAUUACUGGGCGUAAAGGGCUCGUAGGUGGCCAACUCAGUCAGACGUGAAAUCCCUCGGCUUAACCGGGGAACUGCGUCUGAUACUGGAUGGCUUGAAUUCGGGAGAGGGAUGCAGAAUUCCAGGUGUAGCGGUGAAAUGCGUAGAUAUCGGAAGGAACACCGGUGGCGAAAGCGGCGCGCUGGAUACCUACUGACGCUGAGGCGCGAAAGCCAGGGGAGCGAACGGG
rnacentral:rRNA from 1 species